UAAGUCUCUUAGCCAAAUCUUAGCCAAAUCUUAAGUAAUAUAAGAAUUAAAUUAAAUGCCAAAUGAUGUAAAUAACUAAGAGACGUUCCUUAGUUAAGAGACAAAAAUCUCGUUUCUUCUUCUCUCUCUUCUCUCUCUCUCUCUUACGCAAUUUCUUCAGACAAAAACAGAGAAAUCAAAACCAAUCUGAGGAUUCUCCAAUGUUCCUCCGGCCGUCCUUCCGCUGUAAUCUCAUCAUCUCCACCGACGUUUGUCGUUCACGGCGUUUUCGGUUAACCUAAUCGGCGAUGUGGGGUUUCGAAAUCGGAGACUAUUUUUACAAGAUCUCCGAGUUUCGAUUUGCAAAUCGGAGUUGAAAGAAUGAAAACAAGAAUAGGUGAAGCAUGGGGAGUCUGCUCACACAAGAAGAUCUUGGCCGGCUCUGCGGUGACAACGUUUUGAAACUUGACAAACAUUAGUAAAAGUGCUUGUUCUUCGAGUAAACAAAAUGCAAUUUUGAGUCUUUGUGUUGAUGUAACAGAGAUAAUAUAGAUUUGAUUUAAAAGAUGGAGGACAUUUGUCUUUGAUAUGUAAACUGAAGACAAAGAGAUGAAUAAAUUUUUUAUGGUUUAUGAGUUUUAACUAAAA